UACGAAGGGUGCACACGUUGCUCGGAAUUAUUGGGCGUAAAGCGCACGUAGGCGGCUUAGUAAGUCGGAUGUGAAAUCCCUCGGCUCAACCAAGGAAGUGCAUCCGAAACUGCUGAGCUUGAGUACGAAAGAGGAUCGCGGAAUUCCCGGUGUAGAGGUGAAAUUCGUAGAUAUCGGGAGGAACACCAGUGGCGAAGGCGGCGAUCUGGGUCGAUACUGACGCUGAGGUGCGAAAGCGUGGGGAGCAAACAGG
rnacentral:rRNA from 1 species